rnacentral:rRNA from 1 species
GAUGAACGCUAGCGACAGGCCUAACACAUGCAAGUCGAGGGGCAGCACAUGAGUAGCAAUACGAUGGUGGCGACCGGCGCACGGGUGAGUAACACGUAUGCAACCUGCCUGUAAGAGGGGGAUAACCCGGAGAAAUUCGGACUAAUACCGCAUAAUACCACGAGACUGCAUGGUUUUGUGGUUAAACAUUUAUGGCUUACAGAUGGGCAUGCGUAUGAUUAGAUAGUUGGUAGGGUAACGGCCUACCAAGUCUACGAUCAUUAGGGGUUCUGAGAGGAAGGUCCCCCACCACUGGUACUGAGACACGGACCGAGACUCCUACCGGGAGGCGAGCAGUGAGGAAGUAAUUGGUCAAUGGGCGAGAGCCUGAACCAGCCAAGUCGCGUGAAGGAAGAAGGUUCUAUGGAUUGUAAACUUCUUUUGUCAGGGGAAUAAAGGACGGUACGUGUACUGUUUUGUAUGUACUUGCGAAUAAGAUCGGCUAACUCCGUGCCAGCAGCCGAC